GGAAAUGACAGUUGAAAUUAGAACAGGAGCUAAGAGGAGCCAGCAGAAGGGGACGGCAGGAACUAGGAAAUUUAAGGCGGGGAGAAACAACUGAGAGAAGUGGACAGAAAAAAGAAAGCUUAGCAUAAAUAAGAAGGCCCGGGACUCCCGUGCGUCCAGUAGACCUGCUCUGCUAUGGAUCAAAACAAAUGAUUUGUCAUUCUGAAAUGACUCUGAAAGGGGGAAUGGAAUGUGCCCCAACGAUCAAUAUUAAAUUUUAUGCCUGCUGCACCUUUCAAAAGGCUCAAGAAGACAUUGAUUCAAGACCCGUGUUUUCUGUAUGAGUCCACAAGAUCGAAGACUUUAUGGACAGAAGUCAUGUAUCUUCAACACAGAAAAUCCUAGAACCUCCUUUGAUGUUGACCGAGGUUGUCUUGCCUCCAGAAAUAAGAGAUUCUGCUCCAUGCUGGCGGGGUCCUACUUUGCCAGAAAUUUGCAGGUGUCAGGUGGACUACCUGGAGAAGAUGCUACAGGAGAAAGUGAACCCGGACCGCCAGUCUUCUUGAGUUUGUGAGUCUAUGCCUUCACCUUGUUCUGGCUUUUUUUUCUUUUCUUUUUUAUCUGUUCUCAGAAAGUCUGCAGCUUCCAACACCAUUUUAUUUGCUCCUCCUGUGAGUGACAGACCAGUGUGUCCCAAGAAUACUUAAUGUAUUUUGUGUCAGGGGCCUGUGGGUCAGUAAGGUUAUUAAUAAACAUCGCCUCUUGUUCUAAU
ensembl:lncRNA novel transcript